GAUGAUCUAUGUGAAGAUCUAUGUGAUGAUCUAUGUGAAGAACUAUGUGAUGAUCUAUGUGAAGAAUCUAUGUGAAGAUCUAUGUGAUGAUCUAUGUGAUGAUCUAUGUGAAGAUCCCUGUGAUGAUUUUGUGUAAUUGAUGUGGAGUGUUGUUGAAGAGUUGUUGAGUGAGUUAACAUUGGUGAUGAAAUGAUUUAGUGGCCAUAGGAAUGUAUUUUUAUACAAAGCGCUGUGGCUUUGUAGAUUACUACAGUUUUGGGAAAGAUGGAGAUUCGAUGGUUAGGUUAACCGUAAUCGAGAGCAAUUAACUUGCGCUUAAAUUUCGGGACGAAAUUUCUUUAAGGAGGGUGGAUUGUAAUACCCGAAAAAAAUUCAAGUUAAUUUCCGAUGACGUUUUGGAAAUGAUUUCGUGGUCGUGGACACGAGUACGAAGCUUGGAGGAGUGUGGAAUUAGUUCGAACGAUUUUAUUUCGAAAAACUGAACGUUUUAGGGGGGGUCAAAGGAGUUGACUUUUUAUACAUUAGGAAUUUAGGAAAACUUCCUUCAUGAAAGUUGUAGAGCUCGUCGAUACGAUCUCGUGCAUAUGUGGAACGCAAAAAUCGGAGUUCGUAUGAGAAAGUUAUGAUCAAUUGAAAUUUGGGGAAAUUUCUAUAAAUAGCAAAAAAAUCCCGAAAAUGGAAAUUGUCUGCAGAUUUUUCUCUCCCGAGCUCGGCUACUGUAGCCAUUUCGCCUCCUUCAUUCUUCCUCCUCCGUCCACAAUAGGUCGAAUUGUUGAGUGGGUUUUGUUCACCACACUCCCACCUACACGUCUGUGGAAGCCUUUUAUCAUGGGAAGCACUGUGGAGGCCGUUGCAACCCCGGGAAGUUGCUCCGCCGAGCUAAAAACGCCCAAAAUCGCCGACCUUGGUUCUCCCAAUUCCGGCCACCAUAGCUCGAGUUCUUUGAGGGCUUUUCUAGCCCAGAGGCCGUAGAUGCUUCCCUCCAAGCGGCUUGCAACGAUUUCACCUGUGGAGCUCGAAUUUUGAAGAUUGGGAAACUAGGGUUCUUCGGGUUUCAAAACUUGCGAGGUGAUUGACGGUCUCCCUUGGGUGAAUGAUUUCGGUGUGUAUUGUGUUAAAUUGAAGACGCAGCGGGAAUAUCGAGCGGGUAAUCCUACAGGUCAGGUGAAUCGGGAAGGUGAUCGAGCUGCUUAGAGAAAUUGCAUUGGGUAAAUCUGGAUUUAUAUUGUGAGGUUUGUUAUGCUCUUUUGAGUAUUGUAAAUUAAGUGUGAGAGUGUGAUGUAAUAAGUAAAUUGAAGAUUGGUUUUUGUAUUAUUGAGAGGUGUGAAGUGUGGUUGUUUGUGAGAAAAAAAUUCAGGACGUUAUUUGUAUUGAUGUUAAUCAUG